AAAUUCACCCUCAAUCGCGCCUAAAGAAGUAUAACUUCAAAAACGGUGUUAGAUGUUAAAAAUAUCAAAAAUUUGUUAGAAUAACAAAAGAAAAGCGUUAUUUUUAACAUUUUAUUGUAUGACUAUCAUAGUGUAACGACUCAGGCGCAAAAUAAAAAAAAAGUAGUCAGUCUUACAAUGUAAUAUCUGAACAAAGAAUUACGUUUACUACAAAAAAAA
rnacentral:lncRNA from 1 species